rnacentral:rRNA from 1 species
CGAACGCUGGCGGCGUGCUUAACACAUGCAAGUCGAAUGCGAAUCGGUGUUUCGGCAUCGUAGUAGCAUGGCAGACGGGUGAGGAGCGCGUAUCUGACCUGACACUCGAUGGGGGAUAGUCCUGCGAAAGCGGGCAUAAUACCGCGUACGCUCGUGAGGGUAGAGCUUCACGAGGAAAGGUGGCCUCUGCAUGCAUGCUGCUGUCGAGUGAGGGGGAUGCGUCCUAUUAGCUAGUUGGUGGGGUAAUGGCUUACCAAGGCGGCGAUGGGUCGCUGGUCUGAGAGGAUGAUCAGCCACACUGGGACUGAGACACGGCCCAGACUCCUACGGGAGGCAGCAGUGGGGAAUUUUGCGCAAUGGGCGAGAGCCUGACGCAGCAACGCCGCGUGAGUGAGGACGCCUUUCGAGGUGUAAAGCUCUGUCAGUGGGGACGAAGACGCGGGUGGUGAAGAGCCGCCGGUGCUGACGGUACCUGCGAAGGAAGCCCCGGCUAACUCC